rnacentral:rRNA from 1 species
UACGUAGGGGGCAAGCGUUGUCCGGAUUUAUUGGGCGUAAAGAGCGUGUAGGCGGCCAGGUAGGUCUGCUGUGAAAACUCGAGGCUUAACCUCGAGCUGUCGGCGGAAACCAUCUGGCUAGAGUCCGGAAGAGGAGAAUGGAAUUCCCGGUGUAGCGGUGAAAUGCGCAGAUAUCGGGAAGAACACCCGUGGCGAAGGCGGUUCUCUGGGACGGUACUGACGCUGAGGGACGAAAGCUAGGGGAGCGAAUGGG